rnacentral:rRNA from 1 species
AUUGAACGCUGGCGGCAUGCUUUACACAUGCAAGUCGAACGGUAACAGGUUAAGCUGACGAGUGGCGAACGGGUGAGUAACGCAUCGGAACGUGCCCGAUCGUGGGGGAUAACGCAGCGAAAGCUGCGCUAAUACCGCAUAAGAUCCGAGGAUGAAAGCGGGGGACUUUAUAGCAAUAUGAGGCCUCGCGCGAUCGGAGCGGCCGAUGUCAGAUUAGGUAGUUGGCGGGGUAAAGGCCCACCAAGCCGACGAUCUGUAGCUGGUCUGAGAGGACGACCAGCCACACUGGGACUGAGACACGGGCCAGAGUCCUACGGGAGGCAGCAGUGGGGAAUUUUGGACAAUGGGCGCAAGCCUGAUCCAGCGAUGCCGCGUGCAGGAAGAAGGCCUUCGGGUUGUAAACUGCUUUUGUACGGAGCGAAAAGGUCUUCUCUAAUAAAGAAGGCUGAUGACGGUACCGUAAGAAUAAGCACCGGCUAACUACGUGCCAGCCGCCGCGGUAACAC